rnacentral:lncRNA from 10 species
CCAUGUUGGACUCGGUUCGACCCUGUCUGGUGACCGGCGACGCGGGGCCGGGCUCGGCGCCGGGGGUUGGGGUUAGUGGGUGCGAGCCGUGAGAGAGAGGACGCCGGCGGCUCUCUGCGUCCAGCGCAGGCUGUGAGGAGUGAGCAGGGCCAGGCGCGGGCAUGUGUGUGCGCGCGGAGAUGCUGGGGCAGUAUAAUGUGUACAUUCAGUGGCUCCAACUUCUCACUUGGAAUUAAGCACUACAGUCAGCAGAUUAUCAUCAAAGGAGAGAUAACAGGAGCCUACCCCAACCCCCUGGAUCAGUCUCUUCUAUACAUGCUACUACUAUGGCUUCAACUGCAAUUAAAGCAAAUUUAAAGAAAUAUGCUACAUCUAAGGACCUACUGAGAUGUUCUCCUUGGCGCUAAGAUGAUGAAUAAACCUGAGACACUUGGAAACUUCUAAGCUCUUAUGGGAUGAAUGAUGGUUAUAAUAUCAUAAGAUGCCCAGGCAUUACAAGGGAAAGGUAAGAUGAGACCUCUGAGGCUCAAUUAGGAUAACAGAUGUUUCUUCACUCUCUUUUGAUUAUGUUCCUGUCACUUGACAUGGGAUGUAGCUUGUUAUGAUGAUGGAGGGAAGACUGCUGAAACUGGGAGAGGACUGUGAAAUAUUAUAAUGGGAGACAGUUCAAAUAUCCCACUUAGAACUAGUGGGUGGCAUUUGUGGAGUAACGAUAUUAUCUCAUUAUCUAAAUCUCCUAAGACUGUGAGUAUCCUGCCAGUUUCUAUUUUAUUUAUAUAACUCAUUACUUCAAGGCUGUUAUAGGAAGUUUCUGACUCUAGCAAGAAAUAUAAAUUGAC